rnacentral:rRNA from 1 species
GACGAACGCUGGCGGCGUGCUUAACACAUGCAAGUCGAACGGUGAAGCGCCUUCCUUUUUGGUGGGUGUGGAUGAGUGGCGAACGGGUGAGUAACACGUGAGUAACCUGCCCCCUUCUUCUGGAUAACCGCAUGAAAGUGUGGCUAAUACGGGAUAUUCUGGGUCUGUCGCAUGAUGGGUCUGGGAAAGAUAUUGUUUCGGUGGGGGAUGGGCUCGCGGCCUAUCAGCUUGUUGGUGGGGUGAUGGCCUACCAAGGCGGUGACGGGUAGCCGGCCUGAGAGGGUGGACGGUCACACUGGGACUGGGACACGGCGCAGACUCCUACGGGAGGCAGCAGUGGGGAAUAUUGCACAAUGGGCGAAAGCCUGAUGCAGCGACGCCGCGUGAGGGAUGGAGGCCUUCGGGUUGUGAACCUCUUUCGCCAGUGAAGCAGGCCUGCCUCGUUUGUGGGUGGGUUGACGGUAGCUGGAUAAGAAGCGCCGGCUAACUACGUG